AGGGCGUAUGGUGGAUGCCUUGACUAGAAAGAGCGAUGAAGGACGUGGUGUAGCUGCGAUAAGCUUCGGGGAGGUGCGUAGCAACCUUUGAUCCGGAGAUUUCCGAAUGGGGAAACCUAAUACUGUAAACCAGUAUUACGUGUUGCUUGACAACACGAGCAAACCCGCUGAAGUGAAACAUCUCAGUAAGCGGAGGAAAAGAAAACAAAUCCUUUAAGGAUAACAUUUCCUUAGUAGCGGCGAGCGAAAAGGAAAGAGCCCAAACCUAUUUGUAUUUAUAUAAAUAGGGGUUGUAAGACAGAUACGCUUUUUUAAUUAUCUUUUAGAUUCAACUCGAGUGUUAAAAGAUUAUUAAAAAGUGGGAGAGUUACAAAAUUUCUUCAAGAAAUUGAAGAAUCAUUAUCUAAAUUAAUUUUAAUUUAGAUAAUGAUUUUUGGUUAGUCGAAUAAGCUGGAAAGCUUAACUAAAAAAGGUGAUAGUCCUGUAGACAAAAACCAAAAAUCUCUCUAGUGUUUGUUCUUGAGUACUUCGAGAAAAGAUAACCUCGAAGGAAGCUGCCAGAACUAAACUGGCAAGGCUAAAUAUCUUUCUAGAUCGAUAGUGAACAAGUACCGUGAGGGAAAGGUGAAAAGUAGGCCGGUGAGGCCGAUGAAAUAGAACCUGAAACCAUACGCUUACAAGGAAGCGGAACUCAUUUAUGUUUUUAUUAACAUAAAGGGCGACGCUGUGCCUAUUGAAGAAUGAGCCAACGAGUGUAUAGAUGCUGCUUUGGUUAAUCCUGCUCAGCGGGAGAAGCCAUAGGGAAACCGAGAUUUAAUAGAUCGUCCAUCUUUUCUUCGCAAUAAAUUUAUUUUAUUGCGAAGAGAUGAUGAGGUAGCAUUUAUACGACCCGAAGCCAGGCGAGCUUACUAUGGCCAGGAUGAACUCCGACGAAAGUUUGAGGGAGGUCCGAACCGGUUGGUUGUGCAAAACCUUCGGAUGAGCUGUGGUAAGUAGUGAAAAGCUAAUCGAGCCUGGUAAUAGCUGGUUCUCUCCGAAAUAGCUUUAGGGCUAGCGGUCAUCUAUUCAAUUUUUGGGGGUAGAGCGACUGGUUUAAUCGUAAAGGGCGAAAGCUCGACGAUUAAGUCAAACUCCGAAUACCAAAAACGAGGAUGAUCAGUAAGACUGCGGGGGCUAAGCUUCGUAGUCAAAAGGGCAAGAACCCAGAUCGCCGUCUAAAGUCUCUAAAUCUUGAUUAAGUGUAUAAGGAAGUGAUAAGCCGAAGACAGAUAGGAUGUUGGCUUAGAGGUAGCCAUCAUUUAAAGAGUGUGUAACAACUCACUAUCAUAUUCCAACUUCGGUUGGAAUUGGCUGAUCGCGCCAAAGAUGUAGCGAGGCUAAAUCAAGUACUGAAGACGCGACUUUUUAUGUUUUAACAUAAAAGGGGUAGGAGAGCAUUUCUUUUGCAGUGAAGUUGUACUCGUGAGAGACAAUGGAGCGAAAGGAAGAGAGAAUGUUGGCAUGAGUAACCUCAUUCCUGAUGAGAAAUCAGGACGCCGAAAAUCCAAGGUUUCCGUGGCAAUGGCAAUCAACCACGGGUUAGGCGACCCUAAGGCAAUGGCGAAAGCCGCAGCUGAUGGAUAGCUGGUUAAUAUUCCAGCCCUUCUUAUAAAUUCGAUGGAGGGACGAAGGAAAUAAGCUUGAUCAUCUUAAUGGUUUGGUGUCCUUAAUAUCAAGAAAUGUUUACUAGGCAAAUCCGGUAAACUACCUUUAAUGGUAAAUUUCGGAUAUUGAGGAAAUUCUACUUCGGUAGAAAAUUCAAGUGAAGAGCCUUCCAAGAAAAACUUCUAAGGUUAGUUUAUAAGAAUUCGUACCGUAAACCGACACAGGUGGAUAGGUGUAAGAACACCAAGGCGAACGGGUGAGUCCUCGUUAAGGAACUCGGCAAAAAAGCGGUCGUAAGUUUGCAAUAAGACCUGCCUACGUAAGUAGGCCGCAGCUAAAGACCCUCUGGCGACUGUUUAAUAAAAACACAGGUCCCUGCUAACUCGUAAGAGGAUGUAUAGGGGCUGACGCCUGACCGAUGCGAGAAGGUCAACGGUGCCGGUUAAUCUAUUGUAAAAUAGAUUAGCUGAGUGCCUGAAGCCCUCGUCAAUGUCGGCAGUAACUAUAACUGUCCAAAGGUAGCGCAAUUCCUUGUCGGGUAAGUUCCGACGCGCAUGAAUGGCGUAACGAUCAGAGGACUGUCUCAACGAGGAGCCCGGUGAAAAUGCGAUUCCAGCGAAGACGCUGGGUACCUGCAACAAGACGAAAAGACCCCGGGAGCUUUACUGCAGCUUGAUAUUGGGUUUAAAUUGUUGCUGCGUAGCAUAGGUGGGAGACUUUGAAGCUCCGAUUCCGGUCGGAGUGGAGUCGCCAGUGAAAUACCACUCUGUAAUAAUUUAAAUUCUAACUUUAGUGGAAAAAACAUUAAAGGACAGUGUCUGGUGGGCAGUUUUUCUGGGGCGGAAUCCUCCCAAAGAGUAACGGAGGAGUUUAUUAAGGUCGGCUAAGUGCGGAUGGAAAUCGCACUGAUUGUGUAAAGGCAUAAGCCGGCUUAACUGUGAGGUUGACAAACCAAACUUGAACUUUUAGUUCAACGAUUCAUAAUUUUUAUUUAUGAAUUGAGAUGCGAAAGCAGAACUUAGUGACCCGACGGUUCUUUUUAGAACGGCCGGAGACAUCGGACAAAAGCUACCCCGGGGAUAACAGGCUAGUCAGAUCUGAGAGUCCUUAUCGACGAUCUGGUUCGGCACCUCGAUGUCGGCUCAUCAUAGCGCGGGGCUGGAGAAGGUCCCAAGCGUUUGGCUGUUCGCCAAUUAAAAUGAUACGCGAGCUGGGUUUAAACCGUCAACAAAACUUGUUGCUGUUAGCAAGUUUGGCGGCUUCUGGUAGUAAUAUCAGAAUGACAAAUCGACUCAUAUCGGUGAAGUCCUAAUAAUACUUGAAUAACAACCUGUGGUAUGUUAGGAUAAUACCGAGGGAAGUUGUAUAUGUCUAAAAAUAUUUCAUCAACGCAAAAAUCUUAUUUAGCUGGUUUUU
rnacentral:rRNA from 1 species